rnacentral:rRNA from 1 species
GACGAACGCUGGCGGCGUGCUUAACACAUGCAAGUCGAACGGAAAGGCCUCUUUCGGGGGGUACUCGAGUGGCGAACGGGUGAGUAACACGUGAGUAACCUGCCCUUGACUUUGGGAUAACUUCAGGAAACUGGGGCUAAUACCGGAUAGGAGCUCCUGCUGCAUGGUGGGGGUUGGAAAGUUUCGGCGGUUGGGGAUGGACUCGCGGCUUAUCAGCUUGUUGGUGGGGUAGUGGCUUACCAAGGCUUUGACGGGUAGCCGGCCUGAGAGGGUGACCGGCCACAUUGGGACUGAGAUACGGCCCAGACUCCGACGGGAGGCAGCAGUGGGGAAUAUUGCACAAUGGGUGGAAGCCUGAUGCAGCAACGCCGGGUGCGGGAUGACGGCCUUCGGGUUGUAAACCGCUUUCGCUCAUGACGAAGCUUUGUGUGACGGUAGUGGGUAAAGAAGCACCGGCUAACUACGUG